AGUUUUAUAUUCAAAAAUGAUAUUAAAUUGCAAAUUUAAAGGUAAAUUUUAUAAAUUUUGAAACUU
rnacentral:tRNA from 1 species